CCUACGGGAGGCAGCAGUGGGGAAUUUUGGACAAUGGGCGCAAGCCUGAUCCAGCCAUGCCGCGUGCGGGAAGAAGGCCUUCGGGUUGUAAACCGCUUUUGUCAGGGAAGAAAUCCUUUGGGUUAAUACCUCGGAGGGAUGACGGUACCUGAAGAAUAAGCACCGGCUAACUACGUGCCAGCAGCCGCGGUAAUACGUAGGGUGCGAGCGUUAAUCGGAAUUACUGGGCGUAAAGCGUGCGCAGGCGGUUAUGCAAGACAGAUGUGAAAUCCCCGGGCUCAACCUGGGAACUGCAUUUGUGACUGCAUAGCUAGAGUACGGUAGAGGGGGAUGGAAUUCCGCGUGUAGCAGUGAAAUGCGUAGAUAUGCGGAGGAACACCGAUGGCGAAGGCAAUCCCCUGGACCUGUACUGACGCUCAUGCACGAAAGCGUGGGGAGCAAACAGGAUUAGAUACCCUGGUAGUCCACGCCCUAAACGAUGUCAACUGGUUGUUGGACGGCUUGCUGUUCAGUACGAAGCUAACGCGUGAAGUUGACCGCCUGGGGGAGGACGGCCGCGAGUAGUAACGUACGAAGUAGAAGUUAGUACGGCGUGAGACGUAGACCGACGGACGACGACGAGGGAGGAGG
rnacentral:rRNA from 1 species